GAUGAACGCUGGCGGCGUGCCUAAUACAUGCAAGUCGAGCGAACAGACGAGGAGCUUGCUCCUCUGACGUUAGCGGCGGACGGGUGAGUAACACGUGGAUAACCUACCUAUAAGACUGGGAUAACUUCGGGAAACCGGAGCUAAUACCGGAUAAUAUAUUGAACCGCAUGGUUCAAUAGUGAAAGACGGUUUUGCUGUCACUUAUAGAUGUAUCCGCGCCGCAUUAGCUAGUUGGUAAGGUAACGGCUUACCAAGGCAACGAUGCGUAGCCGACCUGACAGGGUGUUCGCCCCCCCGGAACUUGAACACCGUCCCCGAUCCUUCGGGAGGGAGGCAGUGGGGAAUUUUCCGAAAUGGGCAAAGUCUGACAGAAGCACACCCGGGAGGGGAAUGAAGUUUUCCGGUUCUAAAACCCUUUUAAUUGGGAAAAAGCAAAUUAGUCAGUAACUUUGACCUUUUCGCGUUUACCAAAACAAAAAGCCGGGGUGACCUCGUU
rnacentral:rRNA from 1 species